CCUACGGGAGGCAGCAGUGAGGAAUAUUGGUCAAUGGGCGCGAGCCUGAACCAGCCAAGUCGCGUGAGGGAGGACGGCCCUACGGGUUGUAAACCUCUUUUGUCGGGGAGCAACGGGCGCCACGUGUGGCGUCACUGAGAGUACCCGGAGAAAAAGCAUCGGCUAACUCCGUGCCAGCAGCCGCGGUAAUACGGAGGAUGCGAGCGUUAUCCGGAUUUAUUGGGUUUAAGGGGUGCGUAGAUGGGUUGUUAAGUCAGUUGUGAAAGUUUGCGGCUCAACCGUAAAAUUGCAAUUGAUACUGGCAGUCUGGAGUACAGUUGAGGUAGGCGGAAUUCGUGGUGUAGCGGUGAAAUGCUUAGAGAUCACGAAGAACUCCGAUUGCGAAGGCAGCUUACUAAACUGCCACUGACAUUGAUGCUCGAAAGUGUGGGUAGCAAACAGGAUUAGAUACCCCUGUAGUC
rnacentral:rRNA from 1 species